AUUAUUUGGUAGAUGCACGUGUA
rnacentral:siRNA from 1 species